rnacentral:tRNA from 1 species
GCUUAAGCCUAGCUCAAUUGGUAGAGCAACUGACUUGUAAUCAGUAGGUUGGGGGUUCAAGUCCUCUGGUAAGCA